UGAGCCAAAAGUAUUCCGAUUAAACUUUAGAAACAUCUUUCAUCGGAAAUAGAAAAUUAUUUUGCAGGUGAAUCUGCUGCUACAUAUUUCAUACCGUUCUGUAUGGAAAAUGGAUUGCGAAUACCAAACAAUGAAAAAUUAAUCGAGCACUUUCAUUACGUAAAGCGUUUGUUGCAAGAGAAGAAGAUUCUCAUUAACACUAAGCCAAAGAAACACAAUAGAGAACAUAGAUCCCUUUAAACUAUUUUGACGUACAGAAGGAAAAAUGGAAGUUUCUUCAAAAUCAUUCUGAUCCCUUCUCAGAAGUUGAAAAGGCCUUUAAAAGUACCAGCCGACGAUGCAGCUCUCAUUCGACUGCUGACAGGGUUAUCUCGUAAUUUAAAGCAGCAAGAUAUUCUUCUAUUUUAUUUAUUACAUUAAAUUUGCCCAACCGAGAAAAACAAGAGAAAAAAAGGGGAACCUAAUGUAAUUUCCAAUGAACUAAAAUUGACAAAUAAAGAAAAGAGAAGUGCUUGUCUCCUGCAUGUGGCAGACGCGACUGAGUUGGAUAGAACUAUAAACAAACUACGAGAUUCAUUGAGAGCCAAACACUGUAAACUUCAACCCCUGACGAUUAUCAUUGGUUCGCUCCUGGAAGUUAAGGCUUACUAUGUGGCUUUUGAUGAUAGUAAAUACUCUACAAGUUCAAUGUUUAGUACUGUUGAUAUGAAUUUAAAAGUAUUUCACGUUUUUGACUGCGAGUACCUGUCAGAUUCGUAUAACAUGUGGAAGUUUAUGCAG